rnacentral:rRNA from 1 species
GUGCCAGCCGCCGCGGUAAGACGAACCGUGCGAACGUUGUUCGGAAUCACUGGGCUUAAAGGGCGCGUAGGCGGGCGGUCAAGUCAGAGGUGAAAUCCCACGGCUCAACCGUGGAAGCGCCCCUGAUACUGAUCGUCUCGAGGGAGGUAGGGGCGUGCGGAACUUCCGGUGGAGCGGUGAAAUGCGUAGAUAUCGGAAGGAACACCGGUGGCGAAAGCGGCGCGCUGGACCUUUUCUGACGCUGAGGCGCGAAAGCCAGGGGAGCAAACGGGAUUAGAUACCCCAGUAGUCC